AAUCAUCCGAGGCUUCUAAAUCCAGCAGACUUCAGUGAAAUUUAGACGACAUGCGUUUGCCUUUCUCAGCGAGAUGAUAAACGAAAUCAGACUGCAAACGGCUGCAAGUGCAGCAUCCCCAGCGGAAAGCUUCUUGUGAAGGAACAUUUCCACAGUUCACCAGUGUUCAGAGGGAGGGCUUUUUUGGGCAAACGUGAUGUAUUUGACUGGAGGCUUUCAUUUUAAGCCUCUUUACCAUCUUUGUCAGCACAGACGUAUAUGGAAGCUGCUGGAUGAUGAACAUUAUAGUGGCCUCUCAUGUUACUACACUCAACACUUCCUGACACCUGAACAUGAGCCACGUGCUCCAGCUCGGUGGUGUCAACGAGGACAUCCCCUACAUCUACCCUCAGCUUCAGCACAAACACUUCACCGGCUGCAUCCGCAACCUCAUCGUGGACAGCAAGCCACAGAUCCUGACCAAAAAAACACCAAAGGCAGGCUGAAGUGCCAACUCUGCCACCAGGUGGACAACAGGAGGAGGGACACACCCUGGGAGUGUCAGGCCUGUGAUCUGUUUUGUAGUGGACUUUGUUGUUUGCUAAGUUUCUACAAAAGUUAGGUAAAAUUUAUAUUUGCAUUCUAAGUGCUAAAAAUGGCUUAUUAAACAUGUUUGUGGUUUUCACAUUAAAAAAAUUACCUUUUUCCUACUCCGAUUUUAUGAUUUUUGUGUGAUUUUAGGCCCAGUGUGUCAAAAUGAAAAAAUAACUGUAAAUUCACACAUGUGAGGUUGUGCUGUAAAAAAUGACACCAUUCAAGGCAAGAUAAACAGCUUUAAGGUGUAAUAUAAAAACAAAAUGAAAAGUAGUCAAAAAUGACCAAUUACACCCCAGAUCCAAGAGGGUUAAGGCUUGCCGGAAGGAGGGGAAUCUUGUGAAGGUGCACUGGGGGUUUUCUUGCGAACAGACCUUUUGUUUAUUUUAGCUGCUUUAGAUGCUGUAUUUUGACUAUUGUUCCCACUGGUGGGCUGACUGUCUCUGAAGACAUCGUUUGCCUCUGCUGUUUGUCCCCUUGAAGCAACCAGCUCGUCUUUCCCUGGCGCUUACGGAGUUUUAAGCAACCUAUGGCUCUGUGGCCCUCUCCGUUGCAAAUAAAACAGUGUCUACAAUCCUGCAAGCCCUUUUCCAGACACUUUAGGCAACCAUAGAGCCUCUAUCUACUGUUAAUUUAGGGUUUGGCAGGUUAGCACCUACACAUGUAGUUCUUUUGCAGUCUCUGCAUGUGAGUCUACUAGCUUAGUGAGUAUAUCCACUUUGUCAGAGAGCUGCUGCUGCUACUGUCUGUUUUGUUCUUUUGUUCAACAUUUUCUUUCUUUCUAUCUGGCUGCUUCAUAUGUUCUGCCUUGACUGUAUUUAAAAUCUAUGUAUAAAAAAACAAACAAAACAAAACAAAAAACUGCUGUUAAUUUAAAUUUUUGAAAUUUUGCUUAUUUUUACUGUUGUUCCUGUUCUUGUAAUAUCUUUCUGUUUUUGUAAUAUUCUGUCGCUGCUGUGACGAACAAUUUUCCUCGUCUGCAGGACAUCAAAGGAUUUCUGAUUCUGAUUCUGAUUCUUGCACACUAUGUGCAGUGGUUUGUUUUGGGUGGUGGGUUGAGCCUACCCUAAGGUGUCACUCACUCACAGCACUUGAUAUUUUCAUGACUUGUUUCAGAUUGUUUCAUCAACACUAUAAUCUAAAAGCAAGGGCUUUAGCUCCCUACGAAUGUCAUUGUGUUUGUACCCUAUUCCUUGAUAUACUGUGUACAGAAAUACACCUUGGACUGUGUGUAAGUUAUACUUAGAUUUCUUAUUUUAAUAAAAACGGUAUUCUUUGUUUGAGCCCAAUGACACAAGAAAUUAUUAGUUGAGGGGCCUCAUGCUCUUUCUGUUCAGCAAAAAUUAGCUCUUGAAAUAGUUCUGUGCUAUUUCUCUUGCCUAAGUGUGACUGCCAAAACCACUUGAGCACAGCUACAGUCAUAUCUUCCUUGUUGACAAGCAUAUCUUUGAAAUAUCCUGGCUUUAUGAUCCUUAGCACACCUCUUACUAUCUCAUUAUCGGUGAAGUUGUCUUUUACCCCCUCCAGAAUCUGCCUACACACGCUGUUAUAGCUUAUGUCCGAUGAGUGGUCCCCAAUUUGGCCUCCUUGAACUUUGAAUUCAAGUUUUUGUAUGAGGGAGAGACACUACCUGCUCUUAAGUGUGGUGUGAGGUAGCAUUUGACUGUGUGCUACUAUGAGAGGGGACAAUGUUUGGUGAGGUGGUAGGUUGUACAAGUGUCAAUUGUGCUGUGGUCUGUAAUGUGGGUAUAUGAACAAAUUGGAGUUGUUUUUUACUCAAAUCUUCGUAAUUCAAAAGCAUUUGCUGGACAUUAGCAUUGCUCAGUGUAGUAGCAUCAGUGGCUGUAGUAACAGCAGAUACACUUACUGUAGUGGUUGGUAAUGGUUUGACUGUGUCUGCCUGG